GUAAGACAACGGGGGAUCAGAGAGUUGAGUAACUUCCUGAGUUUAUACAGCUAGUGAACUGUGGUUAAGAGGAAGACCAUGUGGAGCCGCCCCCCUGAACUUGUCUGAGCCACCAUUUUCCUUCCUCACUCCAUUCCAUUCCCCACUCCAUCACCAGUACUAUUUCUCUACAUUUCUCAGUCAAAGCAUUUGGCCACUUCCUCCCCCAUCCUAGUGAUCAGCGACGUUUCAGAUUUCGUUGUUUCAGGCUACUUCAUCAGCCUGGGUCCUGGAGUGAGGACAAUGCGUAAGGGUUCCCAAACAACCCACAGUGAACAUGAGGCAUAAUUGAGA